rnacentral:rRNA from 1 species
UACGAGGGGGGCGAGCGUUGUUCGGAAUUAUUGGGCGUAAAGGGUGCGUAGGCGGUUUGGUAAGUCUUAUGUGAAAUCUACAGGCUCAACUUGUAGUCUGCAUGAGAAACUGCCGGGCUUGAGUGUGGGAGAGGUGAGUGGAAUUCCUGGUGUAGCGGUGGAAUGCGUAGAGAUCCGGAAGAACACCGGUGGCGAAGGCGGCCUGCUGGGCUAUGGCUGACACUGAGGCGCGACAGCGUGGGGAGCAAACAGG